ACUCCUACGGGAGGCAGCAGUGGGGAAUAUUGCACAAUGGGCGCAAGCCUGAUGCAGCCAUGCCGCGUGUGUGAAGAAGGCCUUCGGGUUGUAAAGCACUUUCAGUCGUGAGGAAGGUAGUGUAGUUAAUAGCUGCAUUAUUUGACGUUAGCGACAGAAGAAGCACCGGCUAACUCCGUGCCAGCAGCCGCGGUAAUACGGAGGGUGCGAGCGUUAAUCGGAAUUACUGGGCGUAAAGCGCAUGCAGGUGGUUUGUUAAGUCAGAUGUGAAAGCCCGGGGCUCAACCUCGGAAUAGCAUUUGAAACUGGCAGACUAGAGUACUGUAGAGGGGGGUAGAAUUUCAGGUGUAGCGGUGAAAUGCGUAGAGAUCUGAAGGAAUACCGGUGGCGAAGGCGGCCCCCUGGACAGAUACUGACACUCAGAUGCGAAAGCGU
rnacentral:rRNA from 1 species